rnacentral:sRNA from 1 species
CUGACAGCCCUGGAGAUCAAAGCCCCUCUACUUAGCCUCAAAACAGGUGUACCAUGGGUAGCAGCAGGGCAAGCUACCUUUGUGCCAUCUUUUAAGUAUUCCUCACUCCUGACCUGGAGACAUUAUUGAUAGGGAUUCCAGUUGAGAUCUGUCUGCAUUUGCCAUUCAUUUCUUAGCCUUG